rnacentral:rRNA from 1 species
CUACCCUUGACAUGUCUAGAAGGCCGAAGAGAUUUGGCUGUGCUCGCAAGAGAACUGGAACACAGGUGCUGCAUGGCUGUCGUCAGCUCGUGUCGUGAGAUGUUGGGUUAAGUCCCGCAACGAGCGCAACCCUUGUCAUUAGUUGCUACGAAAGGGCACUCUAAUGAGACUGCCGGUGACAAACCGGAGGAAGGUGGGGAUGACGUCAAGUCCUCAUGGCCCUUAUGGGUAGGGCUUCACACGUCAUACAAUGGUCGGGACAGAGGGUAGCCAACCCGCGAGGGGGAGCCAAUCCCAGAAACCCGAUCGUAGUCCGGAUCGCAGUCUGCAACUCGACUGCGUGAAGUCGGAAUCGCUAGUAAUCGCGGAUCAGCAUGUCGCGGUGAAUACGUUCCC